rnacentral:rRNA from 1 species
GAUGAACGCUGACAGCAUGCUUAACACAUCAGCAAUUGAUUGGUGGCGGACGGGCGAGUAACGCGUAUAGAACUUGCCUCACAGCUAGGGACAACAUUUGGAAACGAAUGCUAAUACCAAAUACUGUGAGAGAGCUUUGCGUCCAAUUAGCUAGUUGGAGAGGUAACGGCUCACCAAGGCGAUGAUGGGUAGCCGACCUGGGAGGGUGAUCGGCAACAGGGUGACUGGGACACGGCCCUUACGCCUACGGGAGGCAUCAGUGGGGAAUAUUGGACAAUGGACCAAAGUCUGAUCCAGCAAUUCUGGGUGCACGAUGAAGUUUUCGGAAGGUAAAGUGCUAUCAUUUUGGAAGCGUUACCCGCAGAAGAAGUGACGGCUAAAUACGUGCCAGCAGCCGCGGUAAUAC